CUCUGUCUCAAAAAUAAAGAGGAAUUGGAGGAGGAAAUAAAUGAAUAAAUGGCAAAGGUGACAGAGGACCAAAGAUCCGUGACUUGUGCAAAGAUUGCUCUGUGGUAAUUAUUCAGAAACAAUGUUUGUAUCUUAUUUUUUAGUGAAUUUUGUAUAUUGUCUAAUCUGAUUUACUUUGUUUUUAAUAGUUUGCUGCAGGUCUAGAAGAUGUUACAGAAUUUCAAGGAAGAGAGAGGAGGGCUGGAAUGAGGUCCUCCACUUCAGAAAAUAGGGGGCAGUUUCCAUUUUAUUUAUGUUGUCUUGCUGGAAAGGACAAAGAACAACAAUUCUGUAUCUAGUAGCAAAGAGGCAGUUGCUGUGGGAGGUGUGGUAACUGCUGGAAGGAAGAUGCUCAAUUCUUCUGAGCAACGCAGGCCACACGGAGUCCUGGAUUCGGUGUGGCCUGGCAUCCACGGUGUACUGUGUGCUAGCGGGUGGCUCAGGACGGUAAGCAUUUCUCUGCCCCGCAUGCUGAAUGAGGGUGUCUUUUGGAUUUCCAAGACAGCAGUUUCUUGGCUAACCACUAAUGGCGUGGCGAGUUCCUCUCCUAGAGUGGAUGGUCUGUGCUCAUUGCUCAGUGGCACCGCUCUAGUGGGGCCGAAGGUCUUUAACAUCAUCGGCUCACCCACUGCCCAGCCUGUGGUGUCAAAUGUCCUGCCUCUUCAAAUGUGCUUGGAUCGAUGAUGAGUCUCCCAAAAAAACAUUCCUUGGAAAAGCUGAACAAAAUGAGUGAAAACUCAUACCGUCGUUCUCAUCGGAACUGAGGUCCAGCACGUUGCCUUCCCCGGGGACUGUAGGAGUGAGGGACAACUUCCACUGAUUCCCAUAGGUUCCACCGCCCAAGGCAUCCACAGCCAAAGUCUCCCAUCACAUGCUCAUUAGGAACAUUCCCUUUGUGUGAGGUACACAGGUAGGAGAGUCCUGGGGGGAACGGCUGCUCUGUGAUGGCCUUGUGGCCAUGGAAGCAGACAGAAAUAUCACAGGCCUAGGGUAGUGUGUGCCUGAUCUUGGCUUGGUGAGCUCCCAGGAAGGGAGACCCGGACCUCAUGGCAGGUGUCUCUGAGCAGAGGACUGAGUCCUUGUUUUCUUGCCGGGGAGAGCACAAGGCCCAGGCCUCAGGCAGAUGUUGGUCCUGAUUUUUGAUUAGCUGAGGACAAGGGAGUGCCAAGGAUGAUGGGAGACAGUGUAUAACAAAGGGUGUUGUGACAGAGAGCCAAAGCCUCUUUGGCCCUCCACCCAGCAUCCGGUCAUGGAGGCCCCCCAGCAGGGAUUUCUUCAUCCCCUGAGCCGUGAGAUGCCCCUGGUGCUAUGGUGGAAGCCUGGACUGGAAGGUACUCCACAGAAGAGGUGGUAGGGGACUCAUGUGGACAUGUGUGUCAUCAGCAGUCUUGGGCUAUUGUUCAGCAGUGAUGGGCUUUCCAUUUAUUUCUUUAGUGGAUGACAAGUUGGCCAGCAGGGGUGUUAGAGGGCAGGUUCCAGGCAAUACAAGGGUCAGACUCAUGCCCCUGGCCCUCAGACACUUCUCGUCUUCCUGACAGAGUAGUGGGCUCCACUGUUGUGCACAUCUUCCUGGAAAUCGUCUCUUGGCCUGCCAUUGCUGGGCAGCCACACCUGCUGCAGCUCGUGUGAGCAAAUAUGGCUCUGGAUCCUCUUUCCCGCUUUGAAAGCAGCUUCCAUCCUGAAGGCGUCCAGAGGGGGCAGUUAUCAUGGGACACCGGCCAUAUGCUGGCAAGGAGGAUGGUCAGUUCUUCUGAGCCACAAAGGCCCCCAACGUCCUGGAGUUGGUGUGGCAUAGCAUCCACGGUGCACCCCCUGCUGGUGGACAGCUCAGGAUGGGGCAGUUGCCGUGGGAGGCCUGCUGCCUGCUGGAAGGAAGAUGGUCAGUUCUUCUGAACCACAAAGGCCCUGCAGAGUCCUGGAGUCAGUGUGGCCUGGCUUCCAGGGUUCAUCUCGUGCUGGUGGAUCUCUCAGGAUGGGGCAGUUGCUGUGGGAGGUCCGCUGCCUGCUGUCCAGGAAGAUGGUCGAUGCUUCUGAGAAACAGGCCCUGCGGGUUCCUGGAUUUGGUGUGGCCUGGCAUCCACGGUACACCCCAUGCUGGCGGGUGGCCCAGGACGGGGCAGUUGCCUUGAGAGGCCCACCACCUGCUGGCAUGGCAGAUGGUCAGUUCUUCCGAGCAAUGGAACCUCCAUGGAGUCGUGGAGUCGGUGUGGCCUCGUGUCCACAGUGCACCCAGUGCUGGUGGAUGGCUCAGGACGCAGCAGUUGUCAUGAGAGGUCUGCCGCUUGCUGGCAAGGAAGAUGGCCAAUUCUUCUGACCAACAGAGGCUUCCUUGAGUCCUGAUUUGGUGUGGCCUGGCAUCUAUGGUGCACCCCAUGCUGGGGCAGUUGCCGUGGGAGGCCUGCCACCUGCUGAAAGGAAGAUGGCUGACACUUCUGAGCAAUGAAGGCCCCGCGGAGUCCUGGAUUCAGUGUGGCCUGGCAUCCGUGGUGCACCUCAUGCUGGUGGAUGGCUCAGGACGGGACAGUUGCCAUGGGAGGCGCAGGCCUGCUGGAAGGAAGAUGGUCGAUUCUCCCGAGCAAAGAAGGCCACACAGAGUCCUGGUUUUGGUGUGGCCUGGUAUCCACAGUGCACCCCAUGCUGGUGGGUGGCUCAGGACGAGUGGAUGGUCUGUACCUUUUGCUCAGUGGCACAGCUCUGGGUUCCCCAGGGUGCCGAAGAUGUUUAAGGUCAUCAGCUCGUCCACUGCCCAGCCUGCAGUGUCAAACAUCCUGCCUCUUUGAAUGUGCUUGGAUCGAUGAUGAGUCCCCCAUAAAAACAUUCCUUGGAAAAGCUGAACAAAAUGAGUGAGAACUCAUACCGUUGUUCUCAUCGGAACUGAGGUCCAGCACAUUGCCUCCACUUUGGCUUACUGUGGUACACGGCUAACUUUGUCAUAUUACAUGAUACUUCACUACCCAGGCAUUGGCAUUCAAUUUUUGUGGUCAUUUUGACCAUAGUAAAAUUCUUUAUCAUAAAUGUAUUUGAGAAUCAUACUUGGGUAGCCCAUGAAAUUUUUUAGUGUUACUCUUCUUGGAGUCAAGUUGGUUUCACCCUUAAUGCUAGGUUUUGGAUAUUUGUCACACGAUUGAAUUUUAGCCAGGUUCUGGUCACCAAUCACAGCCUUCCGCCAACAUUCAUAGAGAAAGUUUCCUUGUUUUUUUUAUGUUGAGGAAGUACAUAUUUCAUGAAUGUUUUUGCUUUUGUUUCAAUGUUGGGCUGACCAGCAUGUCAUCUCUUAUCUUAUCCUGAACUGAGUAGUGGUACAAGUUUUUGGCUUUCAGCUUCCAGGGCACCAAGUCUUUUGUGCACAAAUUGCAAGUAUUGAAGCCAUGGUGUUGAUUGGGAUGCUCUACGCCCAUGCUCUUUAGUGGCAUGAUGCCCUCCCAGGUACCUGGAAUCCACAUGUGCAACUCUAUAUGUGUGUUUCUGUGAACACAAAUAUGUGAAGCCAUAGAUAAGCAGAUUUCAUAUGUACCAUAGGAGUCUAGAUGACAUGGUCUUCCUAACCUAUGUACCUGUCUGUCUUUCUGAAGCACACUCAUUUCCUCUGCACCUUCCUAGUGUCAUUGGCAUGGAAGGAAGUCCUUUAACCAAGAAGGAUGGUCUUUGUCUUGUGUGAUCUUUGAGAUGCCGUGAGGCCCCUGGAUACAAAUGGUGUGGGCUCCUUUGGAGGCUUUUGGAUUUCUCCUGAAUGUGGCGUUGGUUUGGAAGGAAGGCCAGUGACCACAAGGGAUGAUUUUGAUCUUGGGAGAUUUUUGGAGAUUGCAAAGUGCUUCUAAACACAUGUGGCGUGGUCUCCUUCAGGCUGGUGGAUACCUCAGGAUGGUGGCGUUGGCAUGGAAGGAAGGACUGUGUCUGUGAGGGAUGAUCAUCCUCUCAUGUGAUCCUUAGAGAUGCCAGGAAGCCCCUUGACACAUGUGGCAUGGGCUCCUUCAGAGGCUUUUGGAUCCUUCGUGAAUGUGGCAUGGGCAUGCAAAGAAAGACAGAGGCUGCAAGGGAUGAACUUCAUCUUGGGGGAUCCCUGGAGAUGGCAGGGAACCCAUGGACACAUGUGGCAUGGGCUCCUUUGGGUGCCGGUGGAUCCCUUCAUAUGGUGUAAGUGAUGAAUUGGCCGGGCCCAUGUUGGUGAGGGACAAUCGUCAUCUCAUGUUAACCUCAGAGAUGCCAGGAAGCUCCUGGACACACAUGGUGUAGGCUUCCUUGGAGGCUGUUGGAUCUCUCCUGAACGUAGUGUUGGUGUAAAAGGCAAACCCGUGUCAUGAGGGAUGAUCACCAUCAUGUGUGAUCCUUGGAGAUGGCAGGAAGCCCUGGACAUACACGGUGUGGGCUCCUCCGGAGGCUGUUGGAAUCCUCCUGGAUGUGGUGUUGGCAUGGAAGGAAGCCCAGUGGAGACAAUGGAUGAUCUUGUUCUUAGCAGAUCACUGGAUGUGGCAGGGAGUCCUAGGACAUGUGUGGUGUGGGCUUCUUCAGGUGCUGCACACUCGUGUUUCCUCUGCACCUCCCAGGUGGUGUUGGCAUGAAAGGAAAGGAGGUAUCUUCGAGGGAAAAUCAUCUUCUUGUGCGAUCCUUGGAGAUGCCAUGAGGCCCCUGGACACAUGUGGUGUGGGCUCCUUUGGAGGCUGUUGUAUCCCUUCUGAAUGUGGCUUGGGCAUAGAAGGAAGGCCAGUGGCCAUGAGGGACAAUCUUGGUCUCGGGAGAUCCCUGGAAGUGAUAGGGAGUCCCUUGAAAUGUGUGGCAUGGGCUCCUUCAGGUGCUAGUGGAUUCCUUAGGAUGGUAGCAUUGGCAUGGAAGACAGGCCCAUGUUGACAAUUGUUACCUCGUGUGAGCUGCAGAGAUACCAGGAAGCCCCUGGACACAAAUGGCAAAGGCUCCUUUGGAAGUUGUUGGAUCCCUUCUGCAUGUGGUGUUGGCGUAAAAGGCAGGCUCGUAUCGUGAGGAAUUAUUGUCAUCUUGUGUGAUCCUUGGAGAUGGCAGGAAGCCCCUGGAAACACAUGGUGUGGACUCCUUCACAGGCUGUUGAAACCCUCCUGAAUGUAGCAUUGGCAUGGAGGGCAGGCCCAUGUUGGCGAGGGACAAUUCUUAUCUCCUGUGAGCCACGGAGAUACCAGGAAGCCCCUGGACACAAAAGGCAAAGGCUCCUUCGGAAGUUGUUGGAUCUCUUCUGAAUGUGAGGCCAGAGACAGGCAGACAGCAGAUGUAUCGCAGGGAGCUGGAUGACAUGGCCCUUGGAACCUGUGCACAUGCCUGCCUUUCUGAUGCACGUCCAUGUUUUCUCUGCACCUCCCCGGUGGUGUUGGUAUAAAAAGCAGGCUCACGUCAGCAAGGGAUGAUUGUCAUCUCAUGUGAUCCUGGCAGAUGGCAGAAGUCCCAGGACACAUGGAGUGUGGGCUCUUUCGGAGGCUGUUGGAUCCCUCCUGAAUGUGUUGUGGCCAUGGAAGUAAAGCCAGUGGCUACGAGGGACAGUCUUCAUCUUGGGAGAUCCCUAGAGAGGGCAGGGAGCCCCUUGACAUGUGGAAUGUGAUCUCCGUUGGGUGCUGGUGGAUCCCACAGGUGGUCUGGCAUGGAAGAAGGCCAGAGGCUGUGAUGGAUCAUCUUUGUCUUGGGAGAUUCCUGGAGAUGGUGGGGAGCCCCUGGGCAUGUGCGGCACGUGUGGCGUGGGCUUCUUCAGGUGCUGGUGGAUCCCUCAGGAUGCUUUUCAAGAUUUUUCUAUGAGUUCUGUUAAAGAGGCUGAAAAUGGAGCGUAGAAGACAUGCUUCGAUUUCCAGGAUGGUUGUGUUUUCCAGAGAGGCGAAGGUAAACCAUUGGCGCAGCCCUGCCUCCCACAGAUAAUUCCGGGUGCAGUGUUUCAUAUCUAGACUUGGACUUCUAUCCUACUGUACUUCUUUGUGUGCAGUUCAUCGCAGAACCAGCACAGAUUUUCAUAUGAAAGUUAUUUUUUUAACCUCAAAAAGUGACAGAAUGGAGUGUAUCAUGAAAAAGUGUGACAUCAAAACCUCAAAAUGUGAUAUUGAUUGGGUGAGAUAGAAUUCCAUGGAUCUUCAUUGCCAAACCAGUGAAGUGCUAAUUUUGACAUUUGUACCAGCUAACAUAGCUGUGAAGAAACACACCAAUACACUUCUAAGGACAACAUAGACCAAGAUCUAGGUUUCAUAUGGAUGAAUUUAUUCAUCCCUUUGAGGCAAGACAAGAAGGAAAGAAAGUAUUGGGAAUAAUGCUACCCUCCCAUCCUCAAGGGCCAGUGGGAACUCUAAUAUUGAUUGGGUGAGAUACAAUUCCAUGGAAUUUUACCACUGAACCAGUGAAGGGCUAAUUUUGUCAUUUGUACCAGUUAACUAAUUUGGGAGGAAACAGAACAACACACUCCUGAGGGUAAAAUGGAAACUCUGAGAGUUCGGUUGGCGGCAUCUAUAUACCAUAGAAACAGAGCCUGGGAAGCAGAACAGUGAGACCCAAGAGAAAUGUUCCUGCCUAUACUUGAUUGGUUGUCACAGAAUUCCAUGGACUUUAACUGCUGAACCAGUGAUGCGCUGAUUUUGUCAUAUGUACCAGCUAACUCAUCUGGGAGGCAACAAAACAAUAUUCUCCUGAGAUCAGCAUGAACCAAGAACUGGGUUUCAUAUAAAAUAUUCUGUCCUCUUGAGAUGUGACAUGAAGAAAAGUAUUGAGAAUACUUCUAUCACCUCAUCUUCAAGAAUCAGUAGGAAUUCUCCCAUGGUGGACUUUAGGGUUAACCUGAACAGGUCUUGGAAAAAGGACUUUAAACAUUCUCCUGUUCUGUGGUAUAAGUAUACUUUUUUCUGGACAUAGACCUUGUCAGUGAGUUCCAUGUGAUACUAGAGUUGCAUGGAUUUUUAACCUUUACACCAAUGAAGAUAUGAGGCAAACAUUGCUCCUUUUUUAGAAGUUUGCAUUUGUCACUGAUAACUGUAAUAAUUGAUCUUGUUGAAAAGCUUGGGAAAUGAAGAUCUGAUAUGUCACUUUUACCAGCUUCCUCAACUGAAAAAGAAUACAACGAAACACGCCGAGGUGACAUCUAAUUUUUGAUACUUUUUUUCCUGGAUUACUACUGUUUUAAGUAUUUAGGAAUUUAAUGGGUGCUAUACUACGGAGCCAGUUAAUUCAGAUGCUAUAAGACCUUACUCUGGUGAGUCAUCUGAGGCUUCUGUUCUUUUCUAGAAUUUUUGUGAUUUCUCAGUCUUGCUGAUGAUCUUUCUAUGGGCAUGAAGCGUGGAGAGUGCCAGAGAGGCUGAUUCUCAGCAGUGUGGCAGAGGAAAGUUGGGUGCGACCAAGGGGUAUGCGGUGCCCAAAUGCCACUGGGUCCUCAGCAGUACCACCUGAUUGGAAGUGAUAUUGGUGGAAGACAACAUUUUGCCGCUUGGAAUUCUUACCUCCACACCAAAGAAGUACUGUUUUUGUCAUUUGCACCAGCUUCUUUCUCCAGGAAAGAUCAAAACGAUGCACUGCAAGGGCAUGCCAUAUAUCUCUCAGGACCUGAAGCAAGAGAAUGAAUUAAAGAAAACUCCAGAGAAUGAGCUGACAACUUACUCCCUGGUCAGUGGCUCUCCAUGCCUACCUGUGGUCUCUUGGACACCCUUGCAGAAGAUGACUUCCUGGGAACUCUUCUGGGAGUGAAUGUUAUCCGCGAAUUCCCAAAACAACACCCCUUAGACAAAAAGCCUCCUCACCUAUGCAUUGCCUAGGCCGCCCACUAAAGGUGAUGGCCACAAAAGGUGGAUUUGUUGAGUUGGUGCCAUUCCUUCUACUGCCAGCUUCACCAAAACAAUGACACAGUCUUCCUUCUGCAUGGAGACUCUUCUCUUUCCUGUGUUGCAGUGGAUGCCUCCUGCAGAUAAGAAAUGCUUAACUGAGAAAUGCUCAUGUUGGGAUAUCAUCGAUGAGACUUUAAUUUGGGCAUGGUGACUGUUUCCCUUGCUGCCACUUGACUCAAUCCCAGGAGCCUCAGUAGAGAAUAUAAUAUUACACAAGAUGCUCAAAAUGGUGGAAUUGCUCAGUGCUCCCAUAAAUAUACAUUUAUAAUUUUCAUUUGCCACAUGGUAAACUGAAAAACACAGAAUAUAUUAAAAAGAAACUCUGCAUGAUUUUUUUUCAAAAAUUCAAAGCAUAUUUAAAUAAUAUAUAAAUUAAAUGCCCUCCUCUCUUCCAAUUCUGUCCCUAUAGUUUUCCUCUAUUAAGCGAACUACAUGCAUUCUUUUAGUGGAUAGAUGCACACAAACACACAAGCCAUUUGGGGAACGAUCCACAUGUGUGGCCAUAUUGUAACACAUUUUUCUGCAAAUUACCUCUUUCAUUUAACAGCCCUUAUUCAAUGGCCUUUUUCUUUUUCAGUAAUACAUACACAUCUGUGUCAUUUGUUGAAUGACGACAUCAAUGUUUUGUAGAUGAAAUAUAAUUAAAUGUUUUAAGCAUUUCUCACUCAUAGAUAUUUAUGUUAGCACCAAAUUUCUGUGCAAUGAACCUCCCUAUAUAUUAAUAAUUUUGCAUUUGUCUAUAAUAUAAUAAAUUACUUAUCAGUUGAAUUACUGGGAUUAAGUAUGUGCACACCUUAUAUUUAUAUUUUGAAAAUUAAUGCAAGAUUGCCUUCAAAAAUGUGGUUAACAACUUUAUCCUCAAAUGGCAAUGUAUGAGAUUGCCAGCUUUCCUACAACCUCACAGACAAUGGAUUUUAUAAAUAUUUAACAUUUUUGCCAAUGUGAUCACCCAAACUGUUGUCUUAAAUUGUAUUUCUUUUGUUUUUGAGUUUGGUCAUUUUUUCAUGUUUAUUAGCCAUCUGUAUUUUUUAAUUUCUUCUUUAUGUCCAAUUUUGUGGGUGGGAGGAGGAUUUAGUCUCUUCCUGAUUUUGAAGAGCUCAUUUACUAUUUUGGGAAAUAAGAUUUGGAUUGUCAACCAUUAUAGCUAUUUUUUACACACUUUUUAACUUUGUUUUUGUUAUAAGAAUGUGUAUGAUUGUUAUAUGUCCAAGUAUAACCAUGUUCGCUUUUAUGGCUUCUGAGUUUCAUGUCAUUUUUGGAAAGAUAUAUAUACUGAGUCCAUAAAACCCUUCACAUAUGUUAAAUUCUAAUUCUUUUGUGUUUUUUUAAUUCAAAUUCUUAAAUCAUGAGAAAUUUUUUUGUUUUGAAAUCUUAAAGUUGCCAAGUUACUUGCCAUUACUUGCGAUUAUUUGCCAAUAAUUGCCCAUUUAUCUGUACCGCCAUCUUGCGCAUAUGCUGUACUCUCAUCUGUGACUGGCUCCAUUUUUGUUCUGUGGAUUUGUGUGUCUCUUCUUCUGCCUCCUGUCUCAUGUGUCUUCUCGUUGGAAGAAAUUACAGUUUAGACUGCAAUUUCAUCAACUUUAAUAAAUCAAUUGAGGGGAGAAUUGGUUUUUAAAAAUAUUAAGUAAGUCUUCGUAUCCAAGGACAAGGUAUGUCUUUUCUUAUUCAAUAAUUUUAAUUACUGUUAAUAUUUUCACUGUGGUGAUGGGAGUUUUUCUUUUAAUUUAUUUUCUUGUUCAUUUUUUGUAUCUAAAGUUUUUGUUUCGUUUUGUUUUGGGGGUAAGUUGUCACCUUACUGUUUCUUGUUGCUUUUCAGAUUUUUUCAAAGUAUAGACUAAAUCCUUCACAAAUAUUUAAAGUUUCUAUUUUCCCCCCUUCAUAUUGAUCCUGAUUUUAGUUAUGCUGACAAAGUCCACAGACUGUUACUAUCAGAACACUUGAACAGUUAUGGAAAUAUCACCUACCCUUGAUUUAAUCAGAGUUUAAUGGUAUGCUUCUUUGGUUUGACUGGCACAUUGUUCCUGGUCAUUUUCUCCCAAAGACCACCAGAAAGAGCUAUGAUCAAGCAAAGCUGAGUUUGUUAAACUUACCUGCAGCAAGGGAAAACACCACCUUGAUAGGGUUUAAUAAUGUUUCAAAAUCAAGAAAUGAGGCUUUGGGGUCUGGGCAGGGAACUAAUUAGACAUGGGCAAAAUUUGUCAUGCAAUACUUUAAGAUUGGUGGGAAAGUGAGAUGAGGUUCUUAAUGUGAGUACUGAUGGUCAAAUCAUUUUCUAGGUGAGCUGUUUGCCUAUAUAAAGAUGUUAUCAAUGAUAGAAGAACUAUUUGCCUAGAUAAACAAACUGAAUUUAUUUAUUGGUUUACAGUUUUAUCUUGCUGGGCAGGACUCUGCUGGGGGUGGUAUCAGGUCUUAUUCCCAAUAGGUAAGUUAUUUGGAUAUGGGUGGUCUUAAUCAUCAAUGUGUAAAAUGCUGAUUUUAAGUGCAAAAUACUUUGUCUACCAUGUUAGGAAAGUCUCCCACCUUUUAUCUUUUUUAAGGAAUUUUAAUCAAAACCAGGUGGUAGAUAUAAUCAAAUUUUUUUGCAGAAUCAAUUUUACUGUUCUUUAAAAAGACUUUUAUCACUGUUUAAUUUACUAUUAUUAAUUUACUAUUAUUGCAACUUCCUUUUAUUUCUUGAAUGAACAGACUGACCCUACUGGUUUUAAAAAUGUUUUAUUCUUUUAAUUUACUACUUAAUCUUGGGUAUUUUAAUUUGAUUUGGAAUUUUUACAAGUAUACAAAUAAGUGAAAUUGAUCUGUGAUUUUUCUUUCUUGUGCUAUUUUUGUCAUGUUUUGAUAUCAGAUAUUCUGGUUGUGUUAAAAUAAUUUUGAGGAUUUUGUUCUUAUACUGUGUUCUAGAGUGGGGAAAAAAAAAGCUCUAGUCUCACUAUCAGUGUUUAAGUGAACACAUCAAUGACAUCAUCUGGACUCUGCUUUGUUUUUGCUGGUUUGGCAUUAGGACAUCUAGAAGUUUUUUUCCUUUUUUGUAUGGUUAUUGCUUGUUCUUUGUUUUGUGUCAAAUUUAACCUGUUUUCUCUUAGCAAAUCACAGUUCAUGCAGAUUGUCAAACACAUUAGCAUUGUUAUACAAAGUGUUCUUUCGUCAUUCUAUUAAAUUUCCAUUUUCAUUCCA